rnacentral:lncRNA from 1 species
UUCGCCUAUGUUCUUAACCCAUGUUCUUUUGAAGGCUAUAACAUGGUUGUUUUUUCUAUUCAUAUAGAGAGUGGUAUAGCGAGUAAAAGUAUUAUGUACGAACUUAAUACAUAGAUUUGAUAUUAUUUACAAUGUACAUUGUUUACUAACGUAAAAAGUAAAGAUGGAUUCAGUUAUAAAAAACAUAAUUGGAAUAAAGGAACAAAGAAUUAUAUUAUCUUUUACCUGUGGCACACAUAAAAUGGUACUUCUUUACAUUUCUACAAUAUAAGGAGGAAUUGAUUUCUUGGAUAUGAUAGUAUAUGGUAUAUAAAGGGUUGUUCAUCUAAACGUACGCAAACAGAGAACAAAAGUCAAACGCUCCUACGAGUUUAUUUCUUUAAUGAUUUUAUUAACUUCUUCAAAAAAAUCAACAAUAUAACAUAAAUUUGACAUUUAAUCAAUAAAAUUGCCGUUAGUUUGAACCACACGUUCACAACAUACCCAGAAACGUCCCAAUGCCUUCUUGAUCGUCCCACUUGGUAAAGUCCGGAAUUCUCUUCUUACAACAUUCUCCCAGUUAAAAUAGUAAAAGGGUUCAAUUCCAGCGAGUUACGAGGCCAAGAACUCGGCGGGACGUAAAUCAAAUUCUCAGCAUCGAGAAAAUCGAGUGUUCUUUUGCUGGUGUGACAGGGCACCAUAUUCAAAGUCGGUCUUUCAUGAUGUUGCGGAUCCAGGGGAAGACUUUGGUGCACAAAACACUGAUGUAGACCUUGAGGCCCUGGUUGAAGAUGAAUACCUAAUGUGACCUUUGCUGGUAACAACGCCAAGAACUUGCUGUGGGUACUUGGCCCUUCAUAAUCCCAGGGACGUUAUAAGGAAUUUUUGCCAAUUAUCUAUUCUUCCUCGAGUUAUGCUUCUGGGUUCGAGAGAAAUUGGACCACUCUUUCAAAAUAAUUCCCCCAUGUUUUGUUUUAAUUUUUUUUUAAAUGAAUAAUAAAAUAAAUAUAUAA